rnacentral:rRNA from 1 species
UACGAAUGGGGCAAGCGUUGUUCGGAAUCACUGGGCUUAAAGCGUGCGCAGGCGGCUAUGAAAGUCAGGAGUGAAAUCCCAGGGCUCAACCCUGGAAUUGCUCUUGAAACUCCAUAGCUAGAAUCCGGUAGAGGUUAGGAGAAUUCCUAGUGUAGAGGUGAAAUUCGCAGAUAUUAGGAGGAAUACCAGUGGCGUAGGCGCCUAACUGGGCCGGUAUUGACGCUCAGGCACGAAAGCCUGGGGAUCAAACAGG